AGGUAACAUGACCCUCUACAGCCCUCCACCCACCAGGUAAUAUGACCCUCUGCAGCCCUCCACCCACCAGCCCUCCACCCACCAGGUAAUAUGACCCUCUACAGCCCUCCACCCACCAGGUAAUAUGACCCUCUACAGCCCUCCACCCACCAGGUAAUAUGACCCUCUACAGCCCUCCACCCACCAGGUAAUAUGACCCUCUAUAGCCCUCCACCCACCAGGUAAUAUGACCCUCUAUAGCCCUCCACCCACCAGGUAAUAUGACCCUCUACAGCCCUCCACCCACCAGGUAAUAUGACCCUCUACAGCCCUCCACCCACCAGGUAAUAUGACCCUCUAUAGCCCUCCACCCACCAGCCCUCCACCCACCAGGUAAUAUGACCCUCUACAGCCCUCCACCCACCAGGUAAUAUGACCCUCUAUAGCCCUCCACCCACCAGGUAAUAUGACCCUCUAUAGCCCUCCACCCACCAGCCCUCCACCCACCAGGUAAUGUGACCCUCUACAGCCCUCCACCCACCAGCCCUCCACCCACCAGGUAAUAUGACCCUCUACAGCCCUCCACCCACCAGGUAAUAUGACCCUCUACAGCCCUCCACCCACCAGG